ACAGCAGCAGGCGUGGUUACGCUGUCCGCUUUGUAAGCGGAUGAUCAUGGGUUCGAUUCCCAUCUGUUCCA
rnacentral:tRNA from 1 species